ACCAGAGAUAGGGGCCAUUUAUUUCAAAUGUGUGUCCAAAAGUAUAAUUAGUCUCAUUUGAAAGCAAAAUGUGUACAGAUUCCAAAAAUCCAUUUCUUAAAAAAAUCCUCUUUUACAAUCACCGGAAAUCCAAGAUGGCCGCCAAGAUGGCCGCCAAAUUUUAAGAAAUCACCCUGUAUAAUAAAAAAUAUAUUUCUGAGUGUAUCUUUUGAUAUCUAAUAUUGUUUUAUUACUGCAAAUGAUAGAAUGUAUAUUAUUUUACAUGAAUUUAAUGCUUUUAAAGUAAAUAUGUAUCUUUCUAGGAGGAAAUGUGCCUAAAACCAACAGAAAUACGCUAAAAUUAAUGGUUUUUUGUGUUAAAAACGUUUUUUAAAUCUAUCAGAAAGUGUUUUUAUGUGCAAAUUUUAUCAUUUUGUGUAGUUUUGGAUAGAAAAAGUUGUUUGAUACUGGCACAAAUGUUCUUAGAUUAAAAUUUCUGCUGUGAAAAUAAGUUUCAUCCGAAAAGUGGGUGGGGUAAAUUAAACCGAUUUUGAAAAAAAAUAAAGAGUUUCAUAAAACAAUAAGAUUUUUUCGUUUCCAACUUUUAAUUUACUUUUCUGCUAGGCAAUUAAUGUUAAAUGUAAUAUAACAGUCUUGGUUAUGUAAAGUUUGUAAUAAAUUUCAAAUUUUAGUUUAGGGUGGGUGGGGUAAGGUUAUAUAUGAUAUGUAUACGAAUUAAAAUACUGAUUAUCAUUAUUAUUGGUAAAUAUUAAAAACGCUUGCUUCAAAAUGUGAAUUAGACGAAUCAGAUUUUAUUAACAAAAGAAAAGCUUGUAAAGGUAGGUGUUUCUUUGUUAUUUAUAACCUGAUAAUAAAAUAUGUUUUGCAAAGUUGUUUCCCUUUGCAAAGAAUUCGCCAUUUGUUCAACAGUGCAGACGACACAUCAAUAUAUACAGAUACAUUAUUUUUCCAAACCUUUACAUAUCAUAAUACCAUCGUGUAAGUGCAAAAUGUUUUAAAUUAGUUAUUUACAAUUUUUAUAUUUUAAAAAGAAGAGUAUAUAUUAUAUAGAAGGGUCAUUUCAAAAUUAUUUUUAAAACUUGAAUAGUAUUCGGAUAUGGCAUAAUUUUGGAUACAAUUAUUUACCUUUGCAGAAUGACUUCUAUAAAAUCAGAAAAGACAGAACUAAAGUGUUCCAAUUAUUAUUAAUAAAUUAUUAAGAAGCCUUUGUUUAAUUACUUAUCAUCUAAAAUAUAUUUAUUUUAGUUAUGAUGCAGAUCGAAGCAGCAUUUGUACAGAGAAGUCGAGCUGAAUUUUUAAUAGAAUAGGAGUUUACUAGCUUAUAAGCCCUUGUCAUAAGAAAUAACUUUGAUAAAAGAACCGAUGAACAAGACUGAAUCUAUAUAGAAUGUGAGUCUAACAACCACCAGUCUGUCAAAAGAAAUAGUGAUAUCCUGGAAUACAUAUUGUGAUGCGAUGAGUUGUCAGAGUAACUAAGACUGCAAUGAAUUUUCUAGACUGUAGAUUAUUACAAUGAGUGAUAUUCAACCUAUUUGUAUAUUACACCGGACAGCUAAAGGGAAAUCUGAUGAACCCUUGAAACAGUUUACUGAACAGUCAUGGGUCAAUGUAAAGGAAGCUGAAAAACUUAGAAAAGAACAUUUAAAAACUUCACAUUUUUUCGAUAUUACUAUUCCAGAUCAAUAUGUUUC